AGGUCGGUUUGCCAAAUUAGCCACCCAAAACGCCUUCUUCUCCUUUCCUUUUCUUCUCUCUCCCAAUUCCCUUUUUUUGAAAAAAAAAAAAAGUUUCUCUCUCUAAGUACCUAAUGCCAGCCACCUCCAGAAGAUCGAGCGAGAGGGUUCUCCCGAUCUCGAACACCUUCCAGCGAUCGAUCUCGCCGUCAGGACGCUUCCCCUCCGGCUACGCCGGCGGCAUGGCCGCCAUCUCCUCCAGCUCCUCCACCUUCUUCCACCACCACCGGCCCUCCUCCCCCACCCGCGUCAACCUCGUCGGCGCCUCCCCCUCUCCCGUCCCCUCCGUCCGCUUCUCCCUCGACCACCACCGCCACCGCCCCACCUCCCCCGGCCGAUCCCUCGCCGUCGCCGACCACCUCUCCUCACGCCCCAUCGCCUCCCCCGCACCCCAGCGCCGGACGUGCAUGUGCUCCCCCACCACCCACCCGGGCUCCUUCCGCUGUAGCCUCCACAAGGGCCUCCAUCUCCAACACAACCACAACGCCGUCUCGUCGCCGUCGAACCGGCUCAACGCGCGGCGGUCGGCGAUGGCGAACUCGCUGGUCCGGAUCGGGACCGUGGAGGGGGAAUGGGUGAAGCGGGCGCUCACCGCUCUCAUCCGCCCUUCCUCCCACCAGCAACGGCGGCGGGCGGCGUUCCAGCCGCGGCCCAGCCGCCUCUCCGUCAUGUCCAAGGCCGACGAUCUCUGAUCUAAACCCGCCUCUUAGAUCUGGAUUCCAAAGCCAAGCAGCAGCGAGAAAAUACGUUCUUCCCGUUCCGUUGAUAUUUUCCGUCGCCGUUUGCGGUGUGACCACCGUCAUAUGGAUGGAUUCCGUCGUCGUCGUUGUGUUUAUGCCGUCACAGUCGUCGAAAUGCGUUGUCGCCUUGGAGGAAUCGCCGGCAUCAGCGCCGGGUUUCGCUGGGAAAGACGACAAACGUGGUGGACCCAUCAGAGACGCAUUUAACGGGACAUAUUUAAUUAUUGGAAACAAAUAUAUAUUAAUUAAUUAAUUAUUUAUUUAUUUAUUUUAAUAUAAAAAAGAGAAAAGAUAUUGCAAAGAGGGAAAGAAGUAUCUGAACGGCCUAAUAAGGCCGAGCUAGUUCACUGAACCAAAUAGUUCCUGGACCGGAUCACCGGGAGUAUUAUAACCAAUACAAAAUACUUGGUUAAUUAAUUAAAGAAAUAUGAAAGUAAAUAUUCUGAAGUGUUUUUUGGUAAAUAUCCUGAAUUUAAAAAAAGAUUUAAAACGGGGAGCCGGGAAUGCCAAUUUGUUAACAUCUUUGUGAGCCAGAUGAUGGUGGGAUGCAUAUGAUCACUCUUGUGCAUCAAAGUCAACACGCACAAAAAUCAUAUGAAAUUUUUUAAUAUUAAUUUUAAAAUAAAAAUUAAAAAAUCAAAAAAAAAUUUACUAAUAGAAUUAGUCUCAUGAUUAAAUUUUUUUUUUAUUUUCAACACAUAAUAAUACAUACUAUAUGAUCAUAUAAUAUAUAUUAAAUAAUAUAUAUUAUAAUUUUUUUAAUAUACAUUCAACAACGAUGCAAUAUACAUUUACAGUUAAAUUGACACAUAGUUUAUCGAAUUUAAUAUUAAUCAUUAUACAGUAUAUGACUAGUUGAUACACAUCUAGCAAAAUAUUUAUUCAAUAUCCCAAUAUAUAUCUCUAGAUAAAAUGAUAUAUAAUUUUUAAAAUAUAGCAUUCAUCAACACACAGUAUAUAAGCAAAUGAUAUACACUAGAUGACUUAUUGCUACAUAUUGUAAGUUUUUUUGAUACACACCCAGUAAUAACCUAAUAUACACUUUGAAACUCUUUAUCUUUUUUCAAAUUUUUUUUCGUUUCUACGAUCUUUGCAUCUAAAAGUUACUAUAUAUUAUUUUACCUAAAGAUAUAUAUUGAGUUGUCGGAUGAAUAUUUUAUUAGGUAUGUACCAACCAACCAUAUAUUGUGUAUUAGUGAAUACUAAGUUUAGUAAACUAUGUAUCAAUUUAGCUGUAAGUAUAUAUUGAUCGUUGCUGGAUGCGUAU